AGUGUAGGUGGUUAGUUAUGUCUUAUGUGAAAGCCCACGGCUUAACUGUGGGAGUGCAUGAGAAACUGGCUGACUAGAGUGCGAGAGAGGUAAGUGGAAUUCCUAGUGUAGCGGUAGAAUGCGUAGAGAUUAGGAGGAACACCAGAGGCGAAGGCGACUUACUGGCUCGUAACUGACACUGAGACUCGAAAGCGUGGGGAGCAAACA
rnacentral:rRNA from 1 species